AGCACAUGUGGGUCACACCAGAGGUGUUAUUGCAAUGUCAUGGUGUCCCACUGAUAGCUCUUAUUUGAUAACCUGUGGCAAAGAUAGCCGGACCAUAUGCUGGGACACAAUUUCGGGAGAGAUUGCCUGUGAAUUGCCAGCUGGAACCAACUGGGAUUUUGACGUGCACUGGUAUCCAAAGAGGUAAAUUCUAUGGUGUCU